AAGACAAAAUUUUCUUAAAAGGAACUCUCUUUCUAUCGCUCACAUACUCAAGAAUUCUCGUCAUACCUGCUGUGUUUGUCAAUACUUUUUAAACAACAAUAGACAAAUAAUUUUUAUAUGUUUAAAGAAGAAGAAGAAAAACAAAGAAAACGUCAUUGACGCCCAACAUCGCCCAAUUCAUCAAGUUCUUCACAAAGUAGCGAUGAUUCAAAUUCCAGUGAAUCAUUAUCGGAUAGUGAUUAAGUUUAGUGUUACCAUAUUACCAAUGUUAAAAUGAGUUAACCUUGUUAACGUUACCAUA